rnacentral:lncRNA from 1 species
CUGGGUUGCAGGCGAAAACAAUAGCACUUCAUCACAGUGAACAAGUGUUUUUGGAUUAUAUAUCAGGGGGGUGAUUGUAUCAGGAAGAGCUCAACCUUUCCUAGUCAGAUCGUACAGAUUACUACAACACAUGGGUCAUCUAGCUUCCAGCCAGCCAAGGAAUGCUGUUUCUGCAGAAUUGUUCUACCUUCCAGCCAGCCAAGGAAUGCUGUUUCUGCAGAAUUGUUUGUUUACCGAGUUAUGCUCUUUCAUUUGAGAUAGUUAUAGAAUGUAGAUAAGUUAGCUUCACCUACCAAUUGCAUCAUUCUUUUCCCGAUUAAUAAAUCUCUUUCUUG